AUCCACUCCGGUAACCCGGCAGUUGUUCCACUCGAAGAAGUAGACUCGGAAAUGGAGAGCGCCACUUCGGGCGGAACCGAACCGGGUUUCCCUGGGGCUCACUGGGUGGGUGUCAAUUCUGUCAACCGGAGACCCAUAUCUCAGGCGGAAAAAUCCUUGAAUCUUCACGGCCGAUGAAGAAAGCCGGCGAGGACCGAGGUCGAGAAGCUCUCAGUAUCGAGGCGUUACCUUUUAUAGAAGAACCGGCCGAUGGGAGUCUCAUAUUUGGGAUUGUGGAAAACAAAUUUAUCUAGGUGGAUUCGACGCAGCACAUGCAGCAUUCGAGCACAUAGAGCAGCUAUAAAGUUUCGGGGAGCUGAAGCCGACAUAAUUUUAGUAUUAGAGAUUAUGAGGAAG